rnacentral:sRNA from 1 species
CGCUUUCCGCCAGCGCCCGCAGGACCCGGAUGAGAGCGCACGCUUCGGGGUCUCCGGGAAGUCGCGGCGCCUUCGGAUGUGGCGGAUGCGGCCUUCCUCCAGAUCCAGCUGUGCCCUCGCCUGACGUUUGAACGACCACCUGCUCACCUCCUCCCUUUUGCGCGUUGAUUCUUCAGACUUCAAAGGGCCCACCUGUCUGCUUGCCCAACGUUAUUAGUGCCCCUAUUGCUCUACAAAUUCGAACCUCUAACACAAAACCAAUAUUUCUCCGUAGGGAACCUUAAUGAGCCAGGAGAGCAGUCAGCCCUGCAGCCUCCAGGGUACCCCACAUCAAACAGGCUCCCCGGGAACAAGAGGAAUACCACGUGGCUUGGCACACUCGCAGAAUGCCAGAGAGGAGCCAACCCCCAUUUUACAGAUGAGAAAGCUGAGGCUUAGGGAGGAAUUGGUUUACCUAAGACCCUCCCCACAACCCCAAG